AUGAAUGUGGAGCAGCGGAUAAAGAGAGUUUCUCUACCAGGGAUGGCCAAGACAAAUGUUAGCAGCAAUUGUGUUGGAUAUUUCUGUAUGGACGUGAUCCGCCUUUACCUGAAACAGCUCUCAGGUGUCCUGUCCGAGGUGCAGCUGCAGGAGUCGGGCCCAGGACUGGUGAAUCCCUAGUAGACCCUGUCCCUCACCUGCACAGUCUCUGGUGACUCCAUCACAACCAGUAGUUAUGACUGGAGCUGGAUCGGCCAGCUCUCAGGGAAGGGGCUGGAGUGGAUAGCAGCAAUCCGUAGUAGUGGUGGUACAGCUUAUAACUCAUCCCUCAAAAGCCACACCUCCAUCACCAGGGACACAUCCAAGAACCAGUUUUUCCUGCAGCUGAGCUCUGUGACAGAUGAGGACACAGGCGUGUAUUACUGUGCGAGAGACACAGUGACAGGAAGUCAGUGUGAGCCCAGACACAAACCUCCCUGCAGGAUACAGGAGAGGUCUGGGCUGCAGGGGGCGCUCAAGGCCCACCCAGCUCCUGUGCCCCAUGGAGCAGGCAACACAGAGUGA